GUUAGCUGCCUGGAUGCGCUACUUCCUUUUAACGCUUUAGGUUCUACUAAUAUCUGGAGUGAACCAAGGGUCAACCUCAAGUAGGGGGAUGUGUAUUUUUUAUGCUUAAAAAUCAAAUGGCAAAAUCUAAUUCACUUUCUACAAUAUUAGUUAAUUUUUAUUUCAACUUUUUAGUCAACAAUUAAUAUGUCUUCCACCCAGGCAAUAUUUUUGAACUUUUUUGAUAAAAAACUUGCGUAUAGUAAGUGUUUUAAUCUGAGAGUGAAACAGAUAUAUUAGGACAAUUUUUGGUGGAGCAUCGGGCACUGCGCAGAUGCUCCUUGACAUGAAGAAGACAGUGUUAAGGGAGUCUGACUGACUCCGUCUCCGGAAGAAAUAGAAUUUGUAAUCUUAGUCAAGGGAUAGUAUCAAGUCUCCAGCGGUGUUCUGCUUCAACGCAUCAUGUUAUCCGGUAGGGAAAUAUCAACUGCUCUAUGCUACUAGACUCGUGAUUCCUGCGUGGCUAAGAAAACUCUUUGGUUUCAUUAGAUUAUGGGUAGUGAUUUCAUUAAUUAUUCUACCAAACGACUUUAUAUUUGGGAAUCCAUCCCAUGUACUUAUGAGAAACGUUCAUUUGCAAAGAUGAAUUCAUUUUCGGAGUUACUAAAUCAAUUUUCAUUUAUAUUUAAAUAUAAUUCGAUAGUGAGGAUUUAGGAUCUCCACAUCAAUAUUCAAUAAAUAAAUUACUGAUCACA
rnacentral:lncRNA from 1 species